CGCUGUGCGAGAGCGGCCCUCGCCCCGGCCCCGCUGCCCGCGCACGCAUGCACGGCAGCAGCCGGCGCUUCCCCGCCCCGCAAGUCACUUGGGCUCUGCGGGCACCCCCUGCCCCGCGCAAGCAGCGGGGCCGCGUUGGCUCUGUGGUGAUCCCCCACCACCGCCCUGUGCGUACAAAGGGAACUCCGGUAGCAUCCUCUGGUAUUAGCCCCUAACUGUGCCGACCACAGAGGGUGUGAGCAGGACAUCCAAGACUGCUUGCUCCGGUGCAAUCUCAUGACAAUUCAUCCAGAGAGCAUUAAACCCAUGAAGAGACAGAAGUUGCCCCAGGAGGUAUUUCCUCAGCCCUUGGAAAAUGCCAGCUAUAAAAGAAAGCUGGAUUUACCGAGAAGUCAGUCAACUGGCAGCCAGUGCAGGACUCGGCACACAGGUCUCCCAGACAACAACUCUUCCUAGCGAGCAGAUAUGUCCUGCAGGAGCAGCUGUUUCAGGAUGGAUGAUGGCACCACAUCCAGGAAAACUGCUUUAGAGGUUUCCAGAUUCAUUUUCCAGCCAGCACCCACAGCAGUGGGAUAAGGAGGGUGCAGCUCUAAGGAGAAUACACAUUUCAAAAGUUCCUGGGAAUUUGUUUAUUGUCUUAAACUUCUCUGGCUUUCAGCAGCUCCUCAAGAAUGUGUUAGAAUCUGCUCAGUGUGAACCAACUGCCUCAGUGGAGGUUUUCAAUUCACUGUAUUGGCACAAUGGAUACCUUAUCACAUCAUUCUUUCACACACAUUGACAAUCUCUUCUGUGUAAUAUGCUUUCAUUUUUCAGCAGCACAAAUCUAGUGUUAAAAUAAUUGUCUAUAAUAAAUAUUAUUUUAAAUAUCUUUAUUAAAGACACUC